CCUACGGGUGGCUGCAGUCGAGAAUCUUCGGCAAUGGGCGCAAGCCUGACCGAGCGACGCCGCGUGCGGGAUGAAGGCCCUCGGGUUGUAAACCGCUGUCGAGGGGGACGAAAUCACGGUGGGUUCUCCCAUCGUGUUGACCGAUCCCUGGAGGAAGGGUGGGCUAAGUUCGUGCCAGCAGCCGCGGUAAGACGAACCACCCAAACGUUAUUCGGAAUUACUGGGCUUAAAGCGUGCGUAGGCGGCCCGGAAAGUUAGGUGUGAAAUGCCACAGCUCAACUGUGGAAUUGCGCUUAAAACUACCGGGCUUGAGGGAUAUAGAGGUGAGCAGAACAGAUGGUGGAGCGGUGAAAUGCGUUGAUAUCAUCUGGAAUACCGGAGGCGAAGGCGGCUCACUGGGUAUCUUCUGACGCUGAGGUACGAAAGCCAGGGGAGCGAAC
rnacentral:rRNA from 1 species